rnacentral:rRNA from 1 species
UACCAGCUCUCCGAGUGGUAGGGAUGUUUAUUGGGCUUAAAGCGUCCGUAGCCGGCUUAGCAAGUCUCCUGUUAAAUUCAGCGACCUAAUCGUUGAGCCGCGGGAGAUACUACUAGGCUAGGAGGCGGGAGAGGUCAACGGUACUUCCGGGGUAGGGGUGAAAUCCUAUAAUCCCGGGAGGACCACCAGUGGCGAAGGCUGUUGACUAGAACGCGCUCGACGGUGAGGGACGAAAGCUGGGGGAGCGAACCGGAUUAGAUACCCGGGUAGUCCCAGCUGUAAACGAUGCGAGCUAGGUGUUGGGGUGGCUACGUGCCACUUCAGUGCCGCAGGGAAGCCAUUAAGCUCGCCGCCUGGGGAGUACGGCCACAAGGCUGAAACUUAAAGGAAUUGGCGGGGGAGCACCACAAGGCGUGAAGCUUGCGGUUC